rnacentral:rRNA from 1 species
AUACGGAGGAUCCGAGCGUUAUCCGGAUUUAUUGGGUUUAAAGGGUGCUCAGGCGGGCUAUUAAGUCGGCGGUGAAAUUUUGCGGCUCAACCGUAAAAGUGCCUUCGAAACUGGUAUCCUUGAGUGUGGAUGAGGUAGGCGGAAUUUGUGGUGUAGCGGUGAAAUGCAUAGAUAUCACGAGGAACUCCGAUUGCGCAGGCGGUUAACAAAGCCAUAACUGACGCUCAAGCACGAAGGCGUGGGGAUCAAACAGGAUUAGAUACCCUGGUAGUCCACGCAGUAAACGAUGAUUACUGGCUGUUUGCGAUAUAAUGUAAGCGGCUGAGCGAAAGCGUUAAGUAAUCCACCUGGGGAGUACGUUCGCAAGAAUGAAACUCAAAUGAAUUGACGGGG